CAACCUUCCACGCGAGCCCGCAUCACCGCGCCAACGACCUGAGCAUUUUUUUCCAAGCAAUAUUAACUUCCGGGUUCUAAAAUUCCCGCAUCUGCAGUUUUGGUUUGCUUUUCGAUGAACUUGAAUACAUUGGAUUAGGCCAGGCCAACUGGACCUUCAGUUGCGCUCUGUGUUCAAUAAAAAAAUCUACCAACGUUCUUGUUACGGGAGCAGAAGUGUGAAAGAAAAAAGCAGGGAUCCAAAGAAUGGCUCCAUCCAGCUUUUUAAGAUUUAG